rfam:Phaseolus vulgaris cultivar G19833 chromosome 11, whole genome shotgun sequence.
UUAAUGUUUCUUGCUCAAAUGAGUAUUCCAUCUACACUUACAAAUUACUCAAAUCUGUGUGGAUGAGACGCUCAUUUGAGCGAGCAAUGUUAA